CCCCACCCCGUGCGGUUACUCCCUACCCGGGACUCGACGGUGCGUCUCCGGCCACGCGUUUCCCGAGGGAAGCGGGCCAGGAGCUGAGCAGACGACCGAUUGGCUGGGCCGGAGGUGGGACGAGCGGUGACGUGCGGGAGACAUCGAAGCCAGCCCACAGCGUCUGUGAAGUGGCUGCUUUGUGAGCCCUCCCUCUGCACGCCACCGCCUCCCACUGCCCCUGGAGCCUUGCUGCCGUGUGGUGCUGUCCUUUGCACGCUUGUGGUCCAGCACCCACCGACACACACACACUGUCAGUCUCCUCACUAUUACUGGGACCCGAUUCCCUGUGUACCCUCUUCCUGCAGGGACUCCGACCUCGCUCUCCUCCACUCUGACUGGGUACCAUGCUCUCCUCCCCCUGUUCAGUGCCCUACACUCCCUGAACUGACCAACGCUUCUGCCAUUGUCCAAACUGUAGAGUCAAAAUCAAAAUGGAGUGAGUGGUGCUAAAAGCUAAUUGCAGAUUCUUGCUUCUGUACAUAUUAGCUUUGCUUGCUAAAGGCUAAGGGUGUAUCUUGCAAAACUAUGCUGGCCCAAAUUCCAAAGAACUGAGAAAGGACACAACCUGAGUGUUCUGCCUAAGUUGACAGAAAUGCGCCCUGCACUGUUAUCUUACAAUCAUACCUUGGGUUUGUUAUUAUUCCCCGGUUUGUUAUUUUUAACUGUUAUCUUACAACCAUAUUCUGUUUUUUUUUUUCGUUGUUCUCUGCAUACCAGAGGUCCAAAAUUGAGAGCCCUAGUGGACAGAAUACUAUAAAAAGCUGUGUAACUCGCUGUUGGGGGCUGCACUCUGGUCAGGAGUAUUGGUCCCGAUGGGUUGCCUUGCCUCUCAUUUUCAAUAAAAUUCAUGUGUGACUGUCA